rnacentral:rRNA from 1 species
GCUUGUCUCAAAGAUUAAGCCAUGCAUGUCUAAGUAUAACUCUUUUACUUUGAAAACUGCGAACGGCUCAUUAUAUCAGUUAUAGUUUCUUUGAUAGUCCCUUACUACUUGGAUAACCGUAGUAAUUCUAGAGCUAAUACAUGCGCCAAGUCCCGUCUUACGUCGGGAUGUAUUUAUUAGAUUUCAAUCAACACUUUUUGCUGACUCAUGAUAACUUAGCGGAUCGCAGAGGCCUCGCGCCGGCGACAAAUCAUUCAAGUUUCUGCCCUAUCAGCUUUCGAUGGUAGUGUAUUGGACUACCAUGGCAUUCACGGGUAACGGAGGAUUAGGGUUCGAUUCCGGAGAGGGAGCCUGAGAAAUGGCUACCACAUCCAAGGAAGGCAGCAGG